GCGGAGGAUGGCUCAGUGGAUAUCAGCCUCGACUAUCAAUCCAAGCUCAUCACAAGACACGGGUUCGAUUCCCCGACUCCUCCGUCAAU
ensembl:ncRNA F09E10.15 ncRNA